rnacentral:rRNA from 1 species
ACUCCUACGGGAGGCAGCAGUGGGGAAUAUUGCACAAUGGGCGCAAGCCUGAUGCAGCCAUGCCGCGUGUGUGAAGAAGGCCUUCGGUUGUAAGCACUUUCAGUCGUGAGGAAGGUAGUGUAGUUAAUAGCUGCAUUAUUUUGACGUUUAGCGACAGAAGAAGCACCGGCUAACUCCGUGCCAGCAGCCGCGGUAAUACGGAGGGUGCGAGCGUUAAUCGGAAUUACUGGGCGUAAAGCGCAUGCAGGUGGUUGUUAAGUCAGAUGUGAAAGCCGGGGCUCAACCUCGGAAUUGCAUUUGAAACUGGCAGACUAGAGUACUGUAGAGGGGGUAGAAUUUCAGGUGUAG